AGAUGGUGAACUAUGCCUGAAUAGGGCGAAGCCAGGGGAAACCCUGGUGGAAGCCCGCAGCGAUUCUGACGUGCAAAUCGAUCGUCAAAUUUGGGUAUAGGGGCGAAAGACUAAUCGAACCAUCUAGUAGCUGGUUCCCUCCGAAGUUUCCCUCAGGAUAGCUGGAGCCCGGUGGCAGUUUUAUCAGGUAAAGCGAAUGAUUAGAGGUCUUGGGGUCGAAACGACCUCAACCUAUUCUCAAACUUUAAAUGGGUAAGAGGUCCGGCUUGCUCGGUUGAAGUCGGACGCGGAAUGCCGGGGUUCCUAGUGGGCCAUUUUUGGUAAGCAGAACUGGCGAUGUGGGAUGAACCGAAAGCCGGGUUAAGGUGCCCGAAUCGACGCUCAGCA
rnacentral:rRNA from 2 species